rnacentral:rRNA from 1 species
AGAGUUUGAUCAUGGCUCAGAUUGAACGCUGGCGGCAGGCCUAACACAUGCAAGUCGAGCGGGGUUUUCGGACCUAGCGGCGGACGGGUGAGUAAUGCGUAGGAAGCUACCCGAUAGAGGGGGAUACCAGUUGGAAACGACUGUUAAUACCGCAUAAUGUCUACGGACCAAAGUGUGGGACCUUCGGGCCACAUGCUAUCGGAUGCGCCUACGUGGGAUUAGCUAGUUGGUGAGGUAAUGGCUCACCAAGGCGACGAUCCCUAGCUGGUUUGAGAGGAUGAUCAGCCACACUGGAACUGAGACACGGUCCAGACUCCUACGGGAGGCAGCAGUGGGGAAUAUUGGACAAUGGGCGCAAGCCUGAUCCAGCCAUGCCGCGUGUGUGAAGAAGGCCUUCGGGUUGUAAAGCACUUUCAGCGAGGAGGAAGGGGUUGUAGUUAAUAGCUGCAAUCUUUGACGUUACUCGCAGAAGAAGCACCGGCUAACUCUGUGCCAGCAGCCGCGGUAAUACAGAGGGUGCAAGCGUUAAUCGGAAUUACUGGGCGUAAAGCGCACGUAGGCGGUUUUUUAAGUCAGAUGUGAAAGCCCCGGGCUCAACCUGGGAAUUGCAUUUGAAACUGGAAAGCUAGAGUGUGUGAGAGGGGGGUAGAAUUCCAAGUGUAGCGGUGAAAUGCGUAGAGAUUUGGAGGAAUACCAGUGGCGAAAGCGGCCCCCUGGCACAACACUGACGCUCAGUGCGAAAGCGUGGGGAGCAAACAGGAUUAGAUACCCUGGUAGUCCACGCCGUAAACGAUGUCUACUAGCUGUUCGUGGUCUUGUACUGUGAGUAGCGCAGCUAACGCACUAAGUAGACCGCCUGGGGAGUACGGUCGCAAGAUUAAAACUCAAUGAUUGACGGGGCCCGCACAGCGGUGGAGCAUGUGGUUUAUUCGACGCACGCGAGAACCUUACUACUCUUGACAUCUACAGGAACUUAGCAGAGAUGCUUCGGUGCCUUCGGGAACUGUUAGACAGUGCUGCAUGCUGUCGUCAGCCUCGUGGUUGUGUGA